UUGGUACCAAUCUAAAAGGUUCUUGAAUGGGGCGAACACUUUUUUAUGACUGAAAGCGUUAAGCCCGCCUCGUCACUAAUGUUAAUAAAUUCCUGUCGGAGAAUACCGCAAAAUGAUAUUUCAGUUCGCUCAACGCGGACCUAUUUGACGAGGCGGUGUCUCGGUUAACAAUGUCCCCUAAAAAUGUUCAUAUUUCAAUCGCCGUAGAGCAAAUGACGAGGUUUCUCUUGAAGCAAGCAAAGCGACCGCCUAAGCAUGCUUUCGAGGCAACUUAAGAUAGGAAAAAAACUCAAGAGUUCAGUGAUCAAACACCAACAGAGCCUCGUGAUAAGUUGCCUGUAAAGAGGAGCAUGAACCCAUCAGAUGCCUCCGAAGAUAUUGACCUGACGAACAAUGCUGCAAAGCAAAAUCUCAGUAAGCAAAGUGCUCAAACACCUACAGAGCCUCGUGACA